rnacentral:rRNA from 1 species
GACGAACGCUGGCGGCGUGCCUAAUACAUGCAAGUUGAGCGAUGAAGAUUGGUGCUUGCACCAAUUUGAAGAGCAGCGAACGGGUGAGUAACGCGUGGGGAAUCUGCCUUUGAGCGGGGGACAACAUUUGGAAACGAAUGCUAAUACCGCAUAACAACUUUAAACAUAAGUUUUAAGUUUGAAAGAUGCAAUUGCAUCACUCAAAGAUGAUCCCGCGUUGUAUUAGCUAGUUGGUGAGGUAAAGGCUCACCAAGGCGAUGAUACAUAGCCGACCUGAGAGGGUGAUCGGCCACAUUGGGACCGAGACACGGCCCAAACUCCUACGGGAGGCAGCAGUAGGGAAUCUUCGGCAAUAGACGAAAGUCUGACCGAGCAACGCCGCGUGAGUGAAGAAGGUUUUCGGAUCGUAAAACUCUGUUGGUAGAGAAGAACGUUGGUGAGAGUGGAAAGCUCAUCAAGUGACGGUAACUACCCAGAAAGGGACGGCUAACUACGUG